rnacentral:lncRNA from 1 species
CUCAAUCUGUCCCUGGACUUGGUGGCCUUUAACUCGAAGGUAGUGAUAACCAGAUGCACGCCACCGUCAUCUCUGUGUAUCACCAUCAGUCUGGCUGCCUCAUCCGGAGCCCAGCAGGCUCUGGAGCUCAGCCUGAUGGGAAGGGUAGUGGAGACAGGAAGUCUGUCUUCUGAUGGGUGCAGCAAGGGCUGAGUGUAGAACACCUGUUGAAACACCCAUAUAUGGUCACAGUGUGGUGAGGAACCUGAGAGUUCCCAAAACCCUCCAGCCCCAGGCUGACUUCAGCCUCUGGUAGGACUGCCUGGACAGCUGGCUGCCCACAUAAUGCAAUACUAGGCCUAACUGGGCAAUCGAGCUCAUCUUCAUGUCCCCCUUCUAGGCUGUGGGCUACAGCAUCCUAUGCCCUCUGUACCAAACUGCUAUUCUCUAAUGAUCUUCUUCCCUAGCUCUCAGAUCUCCUUCCUGUGUUCUACUAGCUCUUCUUUCUAUGCUCUAACUUUUUUAGUUUAGGUCCUGGCACUCAGUAAGGGUUUCACCUCUGGCAAGUGACUGGACAUUGAAGAGGUAACCUGCCCCCAUCUCUGCAUUAAUUAAUCCUUGGCAUCAAAUCCCACACUCGCACUCUCUUGUCCCUGUGCUGAGCUAAAUGGCCAGCACUUCCUUUCCCUUGCCCUGUGCAGAUGCCUCCUGCCUAUGAAGAGGGCAGACGAACAGCAGCCCAUCCUAGUUUCCACUCUCAGCAUUAACACCUGGUGCUGAGACUUGCACUCCCCUCUGUGUUAUCAAACAGCCAGCAUUCCCCUGGUGCAGAUGGCUCCUGCCGUUGAAGGAGGCAGAAAUUCAUGUCCUUGAAGUGAUAAGGCCCCCAUUCUUGAGUUAUGGGAAAGAAGCAAUUAAGUGCUCCCAGACAGCUGGGACUGACUUGCAAAAACCCACUACCCUCCGAUAGCGGAAUACGUUAUUUCUCCCCAGGUGAAAAAGGUCCUUCUCCAGCUGCAUGGCUCCUCCUCCCAGUCUGAGCGAAUGUUAUCAUUUUGAAGGAUGGCAGUCCUUUUCCAGAUGCAUGGCUCCUCCUCCCAGUCUGAGCGAAUGUUAUCAUUCUGAAGGAUGGCAGUCCUUUACCCUCUACCCAAUCACGUAACACCAAGGCUCGAGAGCCCCUGCUUAUGCAUUCUCCCAUAUAUUCCCUGAACCCCUAGACUCAAGCAUGGCAUUCCUAACCUGUGGAGCAGGGAAGAUUGUGAUCCGAUCGGGACUCCAUCUGGACUCAUAUUAAAGGUUCUUUGUGUUUACAUUGGUGUGGCAAUUUCUGGUGGUCUCCUUAUGUUCCUGUGAGCUGGGUAUAACAACAUCUCUGUACCUAUGAACCAGGUCACGGUUAGCACUUUGUGACUUGCAGGGCAUUGCUCCAGACCACAGAGGAGGAGGCAGGUCAGACCUGCACCCCUACAUAUCACCUGCCCUCUUCCCCAGCACCUGCACUGGCCUCACUGCUCACUGGUCUUUACCCCAUCCUCAGCACACAGAAAGCACUUUAGGAGCACCCUGGUGUUUACGCCCAAGCCCAAACCUAGUCAAAGCUGACUUUGCCCUUCCCAGCAGAGAGCUGACCCUUCUAGCUCACAGCAUAGUGGCAGGGAAGAGCAGAGGAUAACAGGGCUGGGUUUCCUGCAUGGGAGUCACACUCCUUCCUGACCCUGCGAUGGC